UACAGAGGGGGCAAGCGUUGUUCGGAAUUACUGGGCGUAAAGGGCGCGUAGGCGGCCCGCUAAGUCGAACGUGAAAUCCCCGAGCUCAACUCGGGAACUGCGUCCGAUACUGGCGGGCUUGAAUCCGGGAGAGGGAUGCGGAAUUCCAGGUGUAGCGGUGAAAUGCGUAGAUAUCUGGAGGAACACCGGUGGCGAAGGCGGCAUCCUGGACCGGCAUUGACGCUGAGGCGCGAAAGCUAGGGGAGCAAACGGU
rnacentral:rRNA from 1 species